CCUAACUUAAACUUGGUUGUGUUUAUUGAAGGGCAUGGAUCAGUCGGACAUCUGGGCUAUUUUUGCUGCCAUCGUCACCACGGUACCAUCCAUGAUUCAAUGGAAUAUAUCAUAUUAUAUGGAUAUUGAUGGAUUUACUACUAAUUGAUGAACACUAUUAUCAUAUUAUCUGGAACUCGAUGGAUGAUACUAUCACAUUAUCUGGAACUACAUGGAUGUUCUCGUGGAAUCAAGAAUACAGAUUUUCAUUAUUUGAUGCUUUAGCGUGCCAGAAUUUCGUCAAGAUGCACAAACAUGAAUGUUAUAAUAUUGUUUGUUUCAAGCACAUGGAGGGAAUUUUUAGGUUACUAUUUUUCGACAUACUGAUCCUAGGAGGUUUCAAUGGAAUAUCUACAUCAUAUUAUCUGGAACGAUGGACAGUAUUACCAAUGCAUCUCAAACUUGAUGGAUGUUGUCAUGGAAUCAGGAAUACAGAUGUUCUAUGUUAAUUGAUGCUUUAGCAUGCUACAAAAUUUCAUUACAGAUGCACGAACGCGAAUGCUAUUUCGUUGGUUUCAAGCAUACGUAUGAAAUUUUUAGUUUGCUAUUUUUUCAACUGAGGAGGAAAUGAUAAGUGGCGGGUUUGGCAUAUGCGACCGGCGGUGGCAGCUGCACCAGGUGUAAAUGAUGACCCACUUGUCGUGCCACUUCUCCAUGGGCCUGAGUUCAACCUUGCUCUCGCUAGGAGGCUCCAGUGUUGGCAGUUCUCUGUUAUUCUUCACAGCUUGACUGCCAUCAUAUGCAUAUGGAAGGAUAACCAUACAACUCCUCCAAGAUAUUUCGGUCCUGCAAUUCUUCUUGUUGGCAGCAUCAUGCAGCUAGCACUUUUGCUAUGGUGCUACCCUCUUAUUGAGGAUGUGUUCACUAUUGGGAUGAAUAUAUGCUUGGGUUGUUGGUUUUAUGUUCUUGUCGCAUUCACAGAUGUGGUUUACUUCAAGAAUAGCCAUAUUAGCAUAACACUGGAGAUAUUGCUCAUCUUUUUUACCGUGUGCAUGCAUGCACUGCGGUUUGUCUCGCAGGAUCUGUUCAUCUUCAGCAGGGUACGCUUUUCCAUUGCUCUUGCGGGAUGUAUUCCUGGAGGCCUAGCACUGUUUGAUCUGUUCUCCAAGGCAGAUACUGCCUUGCUGUCCUCCAAGACUGAUGAUAAAGUGUUAGAUCUUAUAAUAGAUGGUCACAUACUGUUGAAGAUAUCAACUAUCAUCGGUGCGCUAUUCAGGCUGCUUGAUAUGAUGUUCAUAACUAUUGCUGUGAUUGGAGAUGUUGCCAAUUACCUACAGGGAAAACUACAGGAGUUUUUCAAUUGAUACAUGUUGGCGAUGAUAAACUGGAGUUGCUGUGACAUCAACCUCCAUCUUGUC